rnacentral:lncRNA from 10 species
GCCCCUCUGCCCGGCCAGCCGCCUGGUCCGGGAGGGAGGUGGGGGGGGUCAGCCCCCCGCCCGGCCAGCCGCCCCAAAAAAAGAAAAAAAAAAAAAAAGAAGAGUAAACAGUAAUUAGACAGGGGAAAGAUAAUGCUUUUGUUUGGUGAAAACUAUACUCACACUCCAGGAAAGAGGCAGACUAACAGCUAAUUGGACAACAAGCAAGCUGUGUCUCCACAGGGUGCCCAUCAUAGGAUUCUCAACUCUCUCCCAGAUUCUAUUAGGAAUGGAGGAAUCCUUCCAUUAACACCAGAGUGUGUAACUAAGGGUGAAGAAAAGACUUCAACUUUCCACUGCAAAAUCUUCUGUGACUUGGACUCCAUCUCAUGGAGAAUACCUUUGUGUGCCAUGCAAGGAGUUAUAAUGGGGUUGACCAAAUUCUUAGUCAAACCUUAUAGUCUGACAUGGACAAAAAUGGUAUAGAUAGUUAUUGACGAUGGAAAAGAAUAAAGACAUUGAGCUGGAAAAGAAAAGGCAACUUGCUGCUAUUUUAACUGUUUUGUAUUGUCUUCAUGAUAUUCUGGUAGUUCAAUCAAAGUUAGGUAUAUCUCUUUCUUUUUAAGGAAUUAAGUAAA